ACCGAACGCUGGCGGCGUGCCUAGCUGCUGCUCGUCGAUCGUGAAAGGGACCACUCCCAUGUAGGCUGGCUGACGGCUGAGUACCGCGUAGAUACUCUACCCCAUGAGGUCUGGAAUAACCUGCCGAAAGGCGGGCUAAUACUGGAUAGAGCGAUGGAAUCCGUAAUUGGGUUUUUCUGGAGAGGGAGGAGACUUUCCCUUCGCUUUGGUAUGAUUCUGCGUCUCAUUAGCUAAUUGGUGGGGUAACGGCCUACCUGAGCAUUGAUGGGUAGCUGGUCUGAGAUGAUGAUCAGCCUCACUGCAACUGAUACACAGUCCAGACUCCUACGGGAGGCAGCAGUGUGGAAUCUUGCGCAAUGGACGAAAGUCUGACCCACCCACGCCGCGUGAGUGAAGAACGCCUUCGGGUUGUAUCGCUCUGUCUAGUGUGACGAAAAUUCUACGACUGAAUAUCUCUUACAACUGACAGUACCGCUAAUGGAAGCACCGGCUACCUCCGUGCCAGCAGCCGCGGUAAUACCGAGGGUGCAAGCGUUGCUCGAAAUUAUUGCUCGUACAGGGUAUGUACGUGGUCUUAUUUGUCUG
rnacentral:rRNA from 1 species